ACAAUGAUAUAACUCCAACUAUUUUGACCAGACUGUCUUGGGGCCCUACCUCUCAGGAACUGAAUUCUGGAAAACUUCCAUUGGAAAAAAAACACCCAUUUAAAAAAAAGGAUAUCAGAAGUAUUCCUCCUUUUAUCCAUGCCCUACAGACUUGCAUGUAAAGGGAGAGCACCAGCUGUUUUUCUCAUGGUCUUUGCCCGAGACACUAUCUCAGCCAUGCAGAAAUCUAAAAGGUGGUGUUAUUGUUAAAUACAUACAAAAGCCUGCCCUACAAAAUGAAUAGAAAAAAAUCCAAGCCAACAAGUACACAUCAUACCAGAUCAGCCUUACUGCUGGUACAAUAUAUUCACACUGUGAAAUAACUCUGGAGAAAAGGAUCACCACACUAAUAGUAAACUUGGAUCAGAAGGUUGCAAAGAGGUUUUCCUAGUGCUGCAUACAUAAAGUUUAUAAUAUGAUACGCCUUGGAAAAAUCCCCUCGUGCUCAAGGACCAACAGGAAAUAUAGCUGCUUAGUCUUCUUAUAUCCUGCUUUCAGGCUCUCCCCUUGGCUUGCUUCUGGCUUCAGAUUCACAACUCUUUUUUCUGCAAGUGAGAGUCAACCAUAGCAAAUCCAUCUCUCUCUCUUUUUGUUUUAGGCAACAGUUGAGCUCAUCACUGUAUUAUCUCAGAACCAGCUUGGACAAACUGAUAGGUAUUCUUCUCCAAGGAAAGCUUUCUGUCACAGUGGCUUCAAGACAUGAAUCAUUUAAAGGGGAGCUUUGUGUCACUGGGCUGUUAUAACAACAGAUGCAAGUCUGUCUGAUGGUAGAGCAUAUGGGAAUGUUUGCUGAGUUAUGGCUUCACAUAAACAUUCUAGAACUAAAAGAAUGGCCCUGUUUGCAUUCCAGGAGAUUCUGUUAAAAUCCUGAGACUCUUCCACAUCCCUUUUCUAUUGAAGCGUA